UAGGGUUUCAUGAGAGUAUGAGGAUGAGCUUGGUAAGACGAUGCGACGGUGCGACGGUGUUGAGGACCUAACCAUCGCCUCCAACAAUGGUGGCUAGGGUUUCUUACAGACCUGACGUAUAAUUUUAGGAGAGUUUUGGUAAAUUGGCGACCAUACAUACGAUAUCAGGUGAGUUCUGGUUUCGAUCGUUUAAUUUCCGGCCAUAUGAGUUUUGCUUUACGACUUUGCUUUUUGUUCUAAGCAAGUGUACGUCUCUUCUCUAGCCUUUCUCAAGAUGCUUAAACACAGUAAGUACCAAAUAAUAGGGCUUCAUUAUGUUAAAUUGUUCUUUUCAUACUUUUGUAUACGUUGGAUUACAGUUGUAAAGUGCACAAGUAUAAUGUCUUAUCCAUGAAUAUUAGACAUGUUUGAGGGGUACACCAAAAAGAAGCUCAUUGUUACCAAGAACCAGUUGGUAGUGCAUAUGGGAAGGAAAUCGAUAUUUGGAGUGCAGGGGUAAUGUUGUAUAUUCUAUUAAGCGGUGUGCCUCCAUGUAGGGAUUGGAUGUUAGUUUGAAUUUGGGUUCCUCUUCGUUGGCUGAUGGUUCGAAAUGGACGGAUUGGAUCGUGGCGGUCAUUAUAAACAGCCGAAAGUUAAUUCCUUGGCAAUGUGAGACCUUCUUACUGUUAACUUUUUUUUGUUUUGAUAGGCUUUGUGAUUAUUGUUAAAAUAUGACUGAUUAAGGUUAAAAACUUAAAUGGUAUUUGACGGUUUUUUUCAAGAAUUAAUUAAUAUUUUUGGAUAAAAGAAUAUUAAUCGAUCUACCCUACACUAAACGAUAAAGACAAGGAGGCAAGAUGCUAAACCAUCUCAGUAUUGAGUUAUUUACAACCAAUCAAUUAAUAUGGGUGUUUACUUGUACCAAUAAUUGUUUUAAAUGAACCAAUGGGUUGUCGUGCAUCGUAUGUUUUAGUUUUUCUUUUUCUGUUUUUUAUGGACCCAGAAAUUGCAUAAAUAGAAUGUAAUACCAGCAUCUGUAGUAGGCGGUAACAGAUCUGUUUGUUUGUCUUUCUUGAUUUGACAACAUUGGCGAGCUACUUUUGUUUAAUGUUAGGUUAUCAGCACACGGAGAGUAAAAAAACAAUGUUGACUUCCCGAAGUGGGCAAGAUAUUCGAGAAGCUCGUGAAUAUCUUUCUACACUAAGUGACCUCAGUUAAACUCAAAAUUUUGCAGAGAUUGAAAAUGUAGAGGGCCUUGUGAAUUUUGAUGAAAUUCUACAGGAAGCUGAUGGCAUUAUCCUUGCUAGAGGGAAUUUACGGAUUGACCUUCCACCAGAUAAGGUAUUUCUGUUUCAAAAAGCAGCUGUGUACAAAUGUAAUAUGGCUGGGAA